AUACGUAGGGUGCGAGCGUUGUCCGGAAUUACUGGGCGUAAAGAGCUCGUAGGUGGUUUGUCGCGUCGUCUGUGAAAUUCCGGGGCUUAACUCCGGGCGUGCAGGCGAUACGGGCAUAACUUGAGUACUGUAGGGGAGACUGGAAUUCCUGGUGUAGCGGUGAACUGCGCAGAUAUCAGGAGGAACACCGGUGGCGAAGGCGGGUCUCUGGGCAGUAACUGACGCUGAGGAGCGAAAGCAUGGGUAGCGAACAGGAUUAGAUACCCUGGUAGUCCAUGCCGUAAACGGUGGGCGCUAGGUGUAGGGGUCUUCCACGACUUCUGUGCCGUAGCUAGCGCAUUAAGCGCCCCGCCUGGGGAGUACGGCCGCAAGGCUAAAACUCAAAUGAAUUGACGGGG
rnacentral:rRNA from 1 species